AUAUCUAUAUUGGUUUCUGAAAAUUAUAAUUGCCUUUCUGUAAAGGAUAUUGUUUGUAGGUGUGCAUUUGUUCCUUGUACAACAGUAAUUCAUGUUUUCGCAAAAAAAAAAGGUUGCCUGUUGUGUUGUGCUUUAAGUUCACACUUCGUAUUAUACUCUGUUCAUUUAUUGGAUCUUGGUUUAUAUUUUUGUUUUCUAAUCCUUUUUCUCUUUUUUUCUUUUGCAUGAACUCGGGAGUCGGGAGUUCCACAACGGAACUCAUUUUGACCCCAAUUAAUUUGGUCAAAACUACUAGGAGUGCAGAACCUCAGAGUCCCGCAAAAUAGGAACCCAAACUCCUAAAUGUAGCCUAAUAUUCCCCGUCGCCGUUAGAUCUAAUUUAUAUUUAUCGCACUGAG
rnacentral:lncRNA from 1 species